rnacentral:rRNA from 1 species
UACGUAGGGUGCGAGCGUUGUCCGGAAUUAUUGGGCGUAAAGAGCUUGUAGGCGGUUUGUCGCGUCUGCUGUGAAAAUCCGGGGCUCAACCCCGGACUUGCAGUGGGUACGGGCAGGCUAGAGUGUGGUAGGGGAGACUGGAAUUCCUGGUGUAGCGGUGGAAUGCGCAGAUAUCAGGAGGAACACCGAUGGCGAAGGCAGGUCUCUGGGCCACUACUGACGCUGAGAAGCGAAAGUGUGGGGAGCGAACAGG